rnacentral:ncRNA from 2 species
CAAUUGGAAUAACUCCGAGCCUGCUUACCUAACUCUUUGACAAGGUAUGUAGGCCGCAAAAUUCACAUUUGUGAUUUUGCCAGGGUUGCAAGAGAAAUCGACCAGCCUCCCCUAAGCUCGCAGCAGCAAGCUUUACUUUGGAAAGGUGUUACUUAUGUUAGAAG